AAAGAAAGGAGGAGAAGCAGGAGGAGCAACAGCAGCAGCUGCAGCAGCUGCAGUAGCCAAAGUAUCCUCUGCCUUUUAGCAUCCCAAACACACCCUAAGAAUUCUGCACACGAAGAUUCAGCAGAGAUCCAGGCAUGGAAAUGAUUUUAAGUGAGCCUGACAGACACUCGAUAGCAUGUGGAAUUUUCAGGUAAGGUGUGUCUCAGAUGCUCUACCUCCCUUGUGGCCCCCACCUUCCUUUGCAGCCACCCUGUUCCUUUCCCCUUCAUGUCUUAUGUGACCCUUGCCACCCUCAUGUCGUAUGUGACCCUUUCCCCUUCAUGUCCUAUGUGACCCUUUCCCCUUCAUGUUGUAUGUGACCCUUUCCACCUUCAUGUUGUAUGUGACCCUUUCCCCCUCAUGUCGUAUGUGACCCUUUCCCCUUCAUGUCGUAUGUGACUCUUGUCACCCUCAUGUCAUAUUUAACCCUUGUCACCUUCAUGUCUGUCUUAGUCAGGGUUUCUAUUCCUGCACAAACAUCAUGACCAAGAAGCAGUUGGGGAAGAAAGGGUUUAUUCAGCUUACAC
rnacentral:lncRNA from 1 species